rnacentral:rRNA from 1 species
UCCUACGGGAGGCAGCAGUGGGGAAUUUUCCGCAAUGGGCGAAAGCCUGACGGAGCAAUGCCGCGUGAAGGUAGAAGGCCUACGGGUCAUGAACUUCUUUUCCCGGAGAAGAAACAAUGACGGUAUCUGAGGAAUAAGCAUCGGCUAACUCUGUGCCAGCAGCCGCGGUAAU